GCUAUUUUUUUAUGUGUUUUAAGAGCAGAGUUCAGAUCGGUCGCAAGCUCCCUUGCAGAGUUCAGGGGCGAUCGUUGUUAUUCCAGUGUUCACAAUACUGUUCCUCCCCUUGUUCACAAAUGUGACUUGGUUUUCAAUGCCAAUAUAAGGGGAGGCUAGGAGGGGUUGUAAAUGAUGAAGUUCGGUUUAUCUGAAUAACGUAAAAACAGCAUAACCAACCCCCUCUAACUCCCCCUUGUAUUAACUAUGUUGA
rnacentral:misc_RNA from 1 species